rnacentral:rRNA from 1 species
AACGGGUGAGUAAUGCGUGACCAACCUGCCCCAUGCUCCAGAAUAGCUCUUGGAAACGGGUGGUAAUGCUGGAUGCUCCAACUUGACGCAUGUCUUGUUGGGAAAGUGUUUAGUGGCAUGGGAUGGGGUCGCGUCCUAUCAGCUUGUAGGCGGGGUAAUGGCCCACCUAGGCUUCGACGGGUAGCCGGCCUGAGAGGGCGGACGGCCACAUUGGGACUGAGAUACGGCCCAGACUCCUACGGGAGGCAGCAGCC